rnacentral:pre_miRNA from 13 species
UCAGUCAGCGGGUGACAGAGCCACCCAGGACUCCUGACUCCAGGUCCUGUGUGUUACCUCGAAAUAGCACUGGACUUGGAGUCAGAAGGCCUGAGUGGAGUCGCCUUCCCCACUCUCUGA